GCUAUACAUGCAGUCGAACGGGGUGGAGCAGCAAUGCUUCACUUAGUGGCGCACGGGUGCGUAACGCGUAUGCAACCUACCUUUUAUUGGGGGAUAGCCCGAAGAAAUUCGGAUUAAUACCGCAUAUUCCUGUUGGAGGGCAUCUGACGACAGGGAAAGCUAAGGCGAUAAAAGAUGGGCAUGCGUGUCAUUAGCUAGUUGGUGAGGUAACGGCUCACCAAGGCGACGAUGACUAGGGGUUCUGAGAGGAUGAUCCCCCACACUGGUACUGAGAUACGGACCAGACUCCUACGGGAGGCAGCAGUAGGGAAUAUUGGGCAAUGGCCGAAAGGCUGACCCAGCCAUGCCGCGUGCCGGAUGAAGGCCUUCCGGGUUGUAAACGGCUUUUACCAGGGAAGAAAACACUCUUGCGAGAGGAACUGACGGUACCUGGUGAAUAAGCACCGGCUAACUCCGUGCCAGCAGCCGCGGUAAUACGGAGGGUGCAAGCGUUGUCCGGAUUUAUUGGGUUUAAAGGGUGCGUAGGCGGCCUAGUAAGUCCGUGGUGAAAGCCCACAGCUCAACUGUGGAACUGCCAUGGAUAC
rnacentral:rRNA from 1 species